UUAGACCACAUUCAUUCUGUGUCAGAAACCUAUGCUGUGUCAACUAUUUAAUUUUAGAUUUAAAAAGUUUGAAGAAGAAAUCUUUAAUUGAUUUGUAAAAUCUUGACAUUUGUUUUGUGUAAAAAAAACCAUGUAAUGUCAAAAAUUUGAUCACAAUCCAAAUUCAGAGCUGUAUCACGCUUGAAUGUUUUGUCCAUACUUGCCCCAACUGUUCAGGGUUCGACCUCUGCGGUCGUAUAAAGCUGCGCCCUGCGGAGCACCUGGUUUUUAUAUAUUCUUUUUUACACAUUAGUUUGUUGCCCAUUUCAAGGUCCUUGUCCACUAGAUCACGGUCAUCAGCAAUGUUGCUGUCCAUCUGAUUGUCUUUUUCUGAAUUUUAUGCUGACUGGCGAGGCAUAUCUCUGUGUCAAUCAUUUAUUUUUUAUCUCCCUG
rnacentral:lncRNA from 1 species